UUUAAAUACAUACAUAAACGUACUAAUUGUUUCGUAGCUAUAAAUUUAAUCAUAAUUUCAAACAAUUUUGAGCAGUUAAAGAAUAUAAAAUGUUGUAGUACAUACAAAUUAAGUAUAUAUAUGUCGGAGAAGAGUCAGGAACAGGGUUGUGGGCGUUUGAUAGACCUCCCUUGGAGUUGGCCAACGUUGCGUUAUAACGAAGAUACGGCCUGAUACUACGAGUUCGAUAACGAAUCCACGGUCAACUGGAGGAUAGAUAUACUUGCUCUAACUCAAACGUGUACUACUCACUCGUCGUAAGGCGCUACUCCCUUCGUCGAUGAGAUCUCAAGAAAGAAUGAAUUUUCGUCCCAAUGACGCUACCGAGGCCAAACUAUGGUGGGGUGUCUAAGUACACAAGAUCCUCGGAUCGACGUCACUGUCGAUUGGUCGAUUUGGGACAAAAGCUGCCUGUCUGUUUGCACAAAUCCUAAUUGCCGAAAAAACCCAGGUUUUAUAGCGGGUCCUCGGGCUAACUGGACUUGUGCUAUGUACGUGCCUCAACAUCAGGUAUUCAUUGUCCGAAGGAACCGUUGGCAUAUUUUACUGUCAGGUACCUCUAUGGGUAUUUCCUUUAAUGAAGGUCAUAACAUCACUCCGCACCUUUGUUAGACGGAGCGCCCGUCCCGUUGACCGCGGCUACGUUCGGCGCCUGAUGGUCGCCUUGAGCCCAAGUUUAUUAUCACAAAUCGCAAACAAGUACCAUUGGGCAGAAUGACGGCAAAUUGUUUAAUUACAACUGUAAACUUUAAUUACGAUUUUACGGAUUUUCCCGAAGUUUCAGGGGAAGGCUCCGGUGUCCUUUCAUCUCCGACAUAUAUAACAGAAUAGGGAUAUUAAUAACAAUUACAAUAGUGUAAUCAAAUUUGAUAAUAUAAAAUUUUUAUUCAUUUGUUCCAAUUAUAUAAUAAAUUAUUAUAACUUUUCUUUA